AACCUGCCCAGCAGAGCGACCCGUGAACACGUACAACCUCAUGGGUGUUGGGGCGUUGCUUGGUGCCUCGUGUGCCUGCUCGCCCCUCUCCCAGGCCGGGGAGCGCCCACUUGUGGGCUGUUCUCCGGCUAAACAACGAACCCCGGCGCGUAAAUGCGUCAAGGAAUAUAAACUUUAUGUGUGUGCUCUCCUAUUGCCCGGUUAGCUGGGCGUUGGAGUGGUGCCAUGUCUUAACAAUAAACGACUCUCGGCAACGGAUAUCUCGGCUCUCGCAUCGAUGAAGAACGUAGCGAAAUGCGAUACUUGGUGUGAAUUGCAGAAUCCCGUGAACCAUCGAGUUUUUGAACGCAAGUUGCGCCCGAAGCCUCCGGCUGAGGGCACGUCUGCCUGGGCGUCACGCAUCGCGUCUCCCCCAUAUUCCACCCUCGGUGGAGGGGAAGGAGGAUGGUUUCCCGUGACUCACCGGUCGCGGCUGGCCUAAAAUUGGAGCCCACGGCAUCGGGAUGCCGCGGCGAUAGGUGGUGAACAAGGCCUCGGCCAAGCAAGCAACCCGUCGCGCAUGUCGUGCCAAUGCGGGCUCGAAGGACCCUUUGUUGUUGUCUUUAAGGCAACCAAACCGUUGCGAC
rnacentral:rRNA from 1 species